UACGUAGGGUGCAAGCGUUGUCCGGAAUUAUUGGGCGUAAAGAGCUCGUAGGCGGUUUGUUGCGUCGGCUGUGAAAUCCCGAGGCUCAACCUCGGGUCUGCAGUCGAUACGAGCAAACUAGAGUGUUGCAGGGGAGACUGGAAUUCCUGGUGUAGCGGUGAAAUGCGCAGAUAUCAGGAGGAACACCGGUGGCGAAGGCGGGUCUCUGGGCAACAACGUGACGC
rnacentral:rRNA from 1 species